GUCCGGUUGGCCGAGUAAUUAGGCAGCAGCCUGCAAAGCUGCAUUACAGGAGUGCAAUUCUCUUACCGGACU
rnacentral:tRNA from 1 species